rnacentral:rRNA from 1 species
UACGUAGGGUGCAAGCGUUGUCCGGAAUUAUUGGGCGUAAAGAGCUCGUAGGUGGCCUGUCGCGUCGGCUGUGAAAACUCGGGGCUCAACUCCGAGCUUGCAGUCGAUACGGGCAGGCUAGAGUUCGGCAGGGGAGACUGGAAUUCCUGGUGUAGCGGUGAAAUGCGCAGAUAUCAGGAGGAACACCGGUGGCGAAGGCGGUCUGCUGGGCAGUUGCUGACGCUGAUGCGCGACAGCGUGGGGAGCAAACAGG